AUGUCACGGAACUCGGCGUUGAAGAGCGUGUCGAGCUCCACGGCGAAGAUGUGGUCGCUCCGGUUGCCGCCGUCGGUGUCGUUGAGGAGGCCCAGGAACUGGCCCGGCAUCGCCGUGGAGAGCAGCUCCCUGGACGCGGAGACGAAGAAGGCCAUGCCGUGGCUGCUCAGGUCCGCGUACUGCCCGAAGAUGGCGAAGACGAAAGUGGUCGAGAAGGACCGCGCGGCGCCGUCGCCGGUGCCGUUCGCCUCGCCGCCGCCGCGGAACGGCAGGGGGGACGGGUGGAAGGCCUGGCCUUUCGUCUGGAUGGUGCAGUUGGUCAGCAUGAGCAGGCCGUUGGGCAUGACCACCGCGCCGUCGAGCGUCAGGUUCACGCCCGCGAAGCCGUUAUAG
rnacentral:rRNA from 1 species